rnacentral:rRNA from 1 species
AUUGAGCGCUGGCGGCAGGCCUAACACAUGCAAGUCGAACGGUAACAGAAAGCAGCUUGCUGCUUUGCUGACGAGUGGCGGACGGGUGAGUAAUGUCUGGGAAACUGCCUGAUGGAGUGGGAUAACUACUGGAAACGGUAGCUAAUACCGCAUAACGUCGCAAGACCAAAGAGGGGGACCUUCGGGCCUCUUGCCAUCGGAUGUGCCCAGAUGGGAUUAGCUAGUAGGUGGGGUAACGGCUCACCUAGGCGACGAUCCCUAGCUGGUCUGAGAGGAUGACCAGCCACACUGGAACUGAGACACGGUCCAGACUCCUACGGGAGGCAGCAGUGGGGAAUAUUGCACAAUGGGCGCAAGCCUGAUGCAGCCAUGCCGCGUGUAUGAAGAAGGCCUUCGGGUUGUAAAGUACUUUCAGCGGGGAGGAAGGGAGUAAAGUUAAUACCUUUGCUCAUUGACGUUACCCGCAGAAGAAGCACCGGCUAACUCCGU